rnacentral:rRNA from 1 species
CCAGACUCCUACGGGAGGCAGCAGUAGGGAAUUUUGCGCAAUGGGGGAAACCCUGACGCAGCAACGCCGCGUGAUUGAUGAAGCCCUUCGGGGUGUAAAGAUCUGUCAGUGGGGACGAAACUUGACGGUACCCACAGAGGAAGCAUCGGCUAACUCCGUGCCAGCAGCCGCGGUAAUACGGAGGAUGCGAGCGUUAUCCGGAUUUAUUGGGUUUAAAGGGUGCGUAGGCGGGUUAUCAAGUCAGCGGUAAAAUCGUGGAGCUCAACUCCAUCCAGCCGUUGAAACUGAUGAUCUUGAGUGGGCGAGAAGUAUGCGGAAUGCGUGGUGUAGCGGUGAAAUGCAUAGAUAUCACGCAGAACUCCGAUUGCGAAGGCAGCAUACCGGCGCCCGACUGACGCUGAAGCACGAAAGCGUGGGUAUCGAACAGGAUUAGAUACCCCAGUAC